rnacentral:rRNA from 1 species
UACGUAGGGGGCAAGCGUUGUCCGGAUUUAUUGGCCGUAAAGCGCUCGCAGGUGGUUCGAUGCGUCGUGCGUGAAAGACCCCGGCUCAACUGGGGAGGGUCACGCGAUACUGAUCGACUCGAAGGCAGGAGAGGGAAGUGGAAUUCCCGGUGUAGUGGUGAAAUGCGUAGAUAUCGGGAGGAACACCAGUGGCGAAGGCGACUUCCUGGCCUGUUCUUGACGCUGAGGCGCGAAAGCUAGGGGAGCAAACGGGG